rnacentral:lncRNA from 1 species
AUCUAUGGGAGGAGCAUAGAUCGAGAACCCAUUUCCCACAUGGUUCUCGUAGUCCAUCACGAAUCGAGACCAUUUUUGGGUUGUUUCACCUACGAGAUUGUGCGAUAUGAUGGUCCAAAUCAUAAGCAAUCUUGAUUUGAUGGUCUGGGAUGCUGUUUUGAUGCGAUCAAAAAUUUUGAUUCGAUUAGGGCUCGGAUUUCGAUCUUUAAAAAGCCUGUCGCAAAAUAGAGAGCAAUGGUGGCCUUGCGGUGUGUUCAGUCAAAGACCCAGAGCAGUAG